CCUGCAUCUGCCAACAAGACUGGAAGCAGGUGAGGCACACAGAGGGGGAGGCCCGCAGCUGCGUGGGAGGAGGGGUGGUCUGAGGGACGUGGGAUGCCGGGAAAGAGGCUGGUUUGCAGGUUGGCGCAUGGACAUUUUCCCAGAAAGGGACAGAGACGGCGAAGUUUGACGGUCUGGAAAGCAGAGACCAGCAGGGCUGACUGCUUGGGAGCACCAAUUAUCCGGACAGCGCCUCUCGGGAGGUCCGAGAAGAGAACCGCGAUCUGUUUCAGCACCGGGGCUCAGGACAGUUCCCAGCGGGCUCCGUUUCGGCUCCAGAACCCUGGACAGCUCCUCCAGCCUCAGGGCUUUUGCCUCUGCUGUUCCUGCAGCUUGGAAUGCACUCCCUCCACCUCCACCCAGAGCUCCCCACAACUGACCCUGCCUUCUCCUGCAAGCUCCAUUUCAUCAAGGGAAAGGAUCCUUAUUGCCUCACCAUUUCCCACGUGAAGUCUGUAUUGACAUUCUCACAGACCUGGGAUAUUGUGUCUGCAGCACAUACUCCAAUUAUUUUCAUGUUAUCUACUGACAGGUCUAUUUGUCUCCCUGUUACACUGUGAGCUCCGUGAGGGCAGAAACAAUGUUAGUAUUUUCACUGCUGUGUCCCCAGUGCCUGGUCCGGGGCCCGGCACACAGCAGGCAUAUAAUAAGCAUGUGUUGAAUCAAUAAAGGCAUCAAAGAAUAAA
rnacentral:lncRNA from 1 species